UACGUGAGGUGGCAAGCGUUGUCCGGAAUUUAUUGGGCGUAAAGCGCGCGCAGGCGGCCUUUUAAGUCUGAUGUGAAAGCCCAGCGGCCUCAACCGUGGAAGGUCCAUUGGAAACGUGAAAAGGCUUGAGUACAGAAGGAGGAAAGCGGAAUUCCACGUGUAGCGGAUGAAAUGCGUAGAGAUGUGGAGGAACACCAGUGGCGAAGGCGGCUUUCUGGUCUGAUAACUGACGCUGAGGCGCGAAAGCGUGGGGAGCAAACAGG
rnacentral:rRNA from 1 species